UCAUUCUGCACACACGCCCCUCCCCGCCCCCCAUACCCUGGAGGCUGUUGUUACUGUUUCCAUGAAAAAGUGUGUCUGCAUUACAAAACUAGUUUUAAUAGCUAUAUGCCAUUUUUCUUUCUUUCAUACAUACUUUAAUACCACAAUUAGCUUUGAAGGGUAGAUUUUUCUCCACUUGUCAGAGGCAGUGUUCCUUUGUGAAGCUCUUCAAAUGGGAUCUGCAUUUUAAAAUGAAAUCCCAUUUGGUGAAUUUUUUUUCCAUAAUUUUGUACUACUGGUUGCAGUUUUCCUCCUUCUGGAAAUCACUGAUCUUUUUAACUAUCUCCAUAGCUUUGCCUUUUCUGGAAUGUCAUAUAGUUAGAAUCAUAUGACAGUAUGCAACCUUUUCAGAUCAGUUUCUUUCACUUAGCAAUAUGGCUUUAAGUUUCCUCCAAGUUUUUUCACAGGUUGGCUAUACUAAGAUGAAUUUUUAUAGUAUUUAAUUGUUUUAU
rnacentral:lncRNA from 1 species